UACAGAGGGGGCAAGCGUUGCUCGGAAUCACUGGGCGUAAAGGGCGCGUAGGCGGGAUGGCAAGUCAGUCGUGAAAUCUCUCGGCUCAACCGAGAAACGUCGGCUGAUACUGCCGUUCUUGAGGGAUGCAGAGGAGACUGGAAUUCAUGGUGUAGCAGUGAAAUGCGUAGAGAUCAUGAGGAAGACCAGUGGCGAAGGCGGGUCUCUGGACAGUUCCUGACACUGAGGCACGAAGGCCAGGGGAGCAAACGGG
rnacentral:rRNA from 1 species